UACGUAGGGUCCGAGCGUUGUCCGGAAUUAUUGGGCGUAAAGGGCUCGUAGGCGGUUUGUCGCGUCGGGAGUGAAAACUCAGGGCUCAACCCUGAGCGUGCUUCCGAUACGGGCAGACUAGAGGUAUGCAGGGGAGAACGGAAUUCCUGGUGUAGCGGUGGAAUGCGCAGAUAUCAGGAGGAACACCGGUGGCGAAGGCGGUUCUCUGGGCAUGACCUGACGCUGAGGCGCGAAGGCGUGGGGAGCGAACAGG
rnacentral:rRNA from 1 species